UGCAGCAACGCCGCGUGAGGGAUGACGGCCUAUCGGGUUGUAAACCUCUUUUAGCAGGGAAGAAGCGAAAGUGACGGUACCUGCAGAAAAAGCGCCGGCUAACUACGUGCCAGCAGCCGCGGUAAUACGUAGGGCGCAAGCGUUAUCCGGAAUUAUUGGGCGUAAAGAGCUCGUAGGCGGUUUGUCGCGUCUGCUGUGAAAUCCCGAGGCUCAACUUCGGGUCUGCAGUGGGUACGGGCAGACUAGAGUGCGGUAGGGGAGAUUGGAAUUCCUGGUGUAGCGGUGGAAUGCGCAGAUAUCAGGAGGAACACCGAUGGCGAAGGCAGAUCUCUGGGCCGUAACUGACGCUGAGGAGCGAAAGGGUGGGGAGCAAACAGGCUUAGAUACCCUGGUAGUCCACCCCGUAAACGUUGGGAACUAGUUGUGGGGUCCAUUCCACGGAUUCCGUGACGCAGCUAACGCAUUAAGUUCCCCGCCUGGGGAGUACGGCCGCAAGGCUAAAACUCAAAGGAAUUGACGGGGACCCGCACAAGCGGCGGAGCAUGCGGAUUAAUUCGAUGCAACGCGAAGAACCUUACCAAGGCUUGACAUAUACGAGAACGCUGCAGAAAUGUAGAACUCUUUGGA
rnacentral:rRNA from 2 species